rnacentral:rRNA from 1 species
UACAGAGGGGGCAAGCGUUGUUCGGAAUUACUGGGCGUAAAGGGCGCGUAGGCGGCCUUCUAAGUCGAACGUGAAAUCCCUGGGCUCAACCCAGGAACUGCGUCCGAUACUGGGAGGCUUGAAUCCGGGAGAGGGAUGUGGAAUUCCUGGUGUAGCAGUGAAAUGCGUAGAUAUCAGGAGGAAUACCGAUGGCGAAGGCAGGUCUCUGGGCUGACACUGACGCUCAUGCACGAAAGCGUGGGGAGCAAACAGG